UGUGUGAUUCAGUUCUCUCCUUUCACCCUGUGGAUCUGAGGAAUUAAACUCAGCUCAUUAGCUUCUACAGCAAACAGCUCUACCUACUGACCCAUCUUUUGGAUCUGUUUUGUUUAAUUGUGUUGUAUUAAUAGCUUUUCUAACUAGGAGCAGGUAAUAUCUCAUGCUAUUUUGCAUUUUCCCAGAUGGCUAAACACCUUGAGCAUAGAGCAUAGUUCUUUUGUUUUUAUGUCUAUUAGGCAUUUGUGUUUUUCCUUUGUACAAUGUGUAUUUCUGUAGGUUGAUGUCAUUAUGCAGGUGAAGGCAGGUGCAGGAUAGAACGAGGCCUGUCAUUGGACGAGAAGGUAGGAUGGCUGAGAGAAAAGUUUUAGAGAGGCAGAGGAGGCCUGAGUGAGGAGGAGGGAGCAGAGAGAACGUAUCGGUGGAUGUUAAGAUUCCUCUCUGCACAUAUUACAGGUUGUUAUGACUAUUCUUUUUUUUUUUUUUUUUUGGUUCUUUUUUUCGGAGCUGGGGACCGAACCCAGGGCCUUGCGUUUCCUAGGUAAGCGCUCUACCACUGAGCUAAAUCCCCAGCCCCUGUUAUGACUAUUCUUAAGGAAUGGAUGUGUACAGGAUUUUGUGUUAUCUAGGUGGGUGGUUUAUAUCCUUACCAAUUGGUUGUAAGCUUAUUUGGUGGAUGAAUUGUGGAUUGAGAAUUUAACAUGUAAAUCUGAUUGUUGAGUCUUGAUUUUACCAGGUGCUGGAACCAGAGAGUGCAAGGCUAGGAGAGAGCCACCAGGAGAGAUACUAAUCUGAGAUGACUUAGUGCUAGUUCCAAGGGCCCCUUGGAGCCGGAAAUAGCAACCACCAGGGUAUACAGGAACUGGUUCCGCCACUUUUUUUUUUUAUUUUUACAGCAAAAUGUUUCAAUCACUUACCCCUUUUUAAAUGCCUUGGGGAUACUUUUCUGUUGCAUUUUGUACAUUAUUGUGCAUUUUGUAAAUUAUUGGUUUUUUUUUUUUUUGAGGUUUUAACAUAGUGACAUCGUUUUCCUCUUCCCUGUCCUCCCUUCAAACCAUCCGAUACAGCUACAACACAACUCCUGCACCGAAGACUCAAGGAUAAUUGCAGAAGAAGGAGCAGGAAGAUUGUAAAAGACAGGAACAAGGAAGGAGUUUGUUGUGAGAUCGUCUCCUGGGAAUGCUGGAGGUGUUGUUUUAUAAUCUUGCUGUCUGAAGACUAACAUUGUACUGAAUGAGCCUGCUGUGGAUGACAUCAUCGUCUUUUUCCUGGUUGUGGGGGAAAUGCUUUCAGAUUUCUCCCAUCCAGUGAGAUGAUGACUGUGGACUUGUUGUGUUCAGUUUUAUUAUGAUGCCAACUUUAGGAGCUUUCCUCAUGGAGAAAUGUUGAGCUUUAUCAAAUGCUUGCUAUGUGUCUGCUGAGAUAAUUGUUUGAUUUUUAUCUUUUCCCCUCUUUAUGUGUUGUGAUGAUUUAUAUGUGUUUGGCCCAGGGAGUGACACAAUUAGAAGGUGUUACCUUGUUGGAGGAAGUGUGUCACUAUGGGGGUGGGCUUGGAGACCUUCCUUCUAGAUGCCUGAGGAUGCUCAGGCUGUUCCUGGCUUCCUUCGGGUGAAGAUGUAAAACUCAGCUCCCCCUGCACCAUGCCUGCUUGGAUGCUAUGAUGCUGCCAUGUUCCUGCCUUGAUGAUAAUGGACUGAACCUCUAACCUGCUACUGGGGUUCUGAACAGAAAUCUUCACUGGAAAAAUCAUGCAAUGGCCGAUAUAGAACAGACAGGAGAAAGCAGGACAAAGGCCAGAGAACUGGACUGCUGGUCCAUGAAGAGUUUGUGAGUGGACAGAGCCACUGCUGACCUGUAAACAGAACUGCUGAUUUCCAGACACCACAGACAGGAGUUGCUUCAAAGAACCUUUCUAAACAGGUCCACUUCUCUCCUGUAUCCUUUCUUUCCCACUAACUCUUGGUGGGUGGUGGGCUACAAGGGAGGUUAAAACAUUUAAGAACCAUCAUUAAAAAUAGAUUUUGAAAAAAAAUUAAAAGUUACACAUGAUAAAAUUUAUGGCUGGAAAAUAAAUCAGUGUUAUUUACUGUUGCUAUAUUUAUGGUUUAUAGAGGAAAUAUUUCAUAUUCGUGAUGGUAACCAACAAUAUAUCCUUACCCAUCAAUGCUGAUGUCUUUCUAUGUGUUUGAGGCUUUAUAUAUAUAUAUUUGUGAGUGUAUAUAUACACACAAAUAUAUAUAAACAUAUAUAUAUUUAUAUUUCUUUACAUAUGUAAAUAUGAACACACACAGACAUGCAUAUGACUUUCCACUCCAUUGCAUGUUUAAUCUCUUGAAAAGUAAUAAAGACAAUGAUUUAUAAAAUAAGUGAUUUAGAAAAUGAGCUAAAUGUACAGAUCACUAAAUUGUAAGUCUUAAGAAGUUAUUGUAGCACUAAGAAGUUAUUGUGUGAAAGCCGUAAGAAGUUAUUGUGUGAUGCUGCUUUUGGACUGAGUGACAUUUAAAACAAUCUCAGAGAAUGAGAAACUCUCUUGUUAUCAUUCUGAAAUUACUGAAGCAAAUGUCAAAGUCAAUCUUCAAUCAGCAAAUUCACCUCAUAUUUGCCAUGUGUGUAAAGCCAAUGCCUGUUAAAUAUAACUAUAUAACUUCUGAACCAAAUAAAAACAUUGGUGAAUAAUCACGAUGAAAAUAGAAAGAAUGGAAACAGGCAACCUCAGGAGGUAGAAGGUUGGAAGGACCCCCCUCUCCCAAGAAUGUACCAGAGACCUGGGAGGUGAGAGAUUCUCAGGACUCAAAGGGGGUAAUCCAGGAUGAAAUGCCCUACAAUGAGGAGUGGGAAUUUGUAGAGCCCACUUCCAACAGAAAGACAGGGCCUCGAAUGAGGGAUGGGGUUGCCAUCCCACAGUCAAAACUCUGAUCCAUAAUUGUUCCUGUCUGAAAGAAUUGCAGGGAUGGAAGUGGAGAAGAGCCUGAGGAAAAGAAGGUCCAGCGACAGGUCCAAAGGGGGACCCAGCUCAAGGGGAGGCCCCAAGGUCUGACACUAUUAUUGAGGCUAGGGAGUACUCACAAAAAGGGACCUAUCAUGACUGCCCUCUGAAAGAAAAACAACUGAAAGAGUCAGAUGCAGAUAUGUGCACCCAACCAAUGGACAGAAGCUGCUGACCCCUAUAGUGAAUUAAGGAAAAGCUGAAAGAAACUGAGGAGGAGGGCCACCCUGUAGGAGGACCAGCAGUCUCAACCUAGACCCCCAAGAUCUCUCAGACACUGGACUGCUAACCCCAGCACAUAUACAACAGAGGACUUCUGGGUCUGGGUUCAGUCAGAGAAGAUGCACCUAACCCUCAAGAGACUGGAGGCCCCAGGGAGUGGGGAGGUC